UUUGUCCUUGUUUUUGUCUUUCUUAUUUUGAGGCAUUUUGGGUGUUGCAUUAUGUGUUAUGCUCUUCUAAUGCAUGCAGGCUGCAAGGAAUGCUGGUGUGCGGGUAUUGUUGAAUUUUGUUGAUAUUUUGAGUCCUAAUGAAACUGAACUUGCUCGCCUUACUGGAUUGCCAACGGAGAGUUUUGAAGAGAUUACACAAGCGGCUUUGAAAUGCCAUGAAAUGCUGCUGCAGCUUGUCUUUGUGUUCAAGUGAAGGGAGCCUCUCCCUGCAUGCCUGAUAGGAAAUCUGUUUUGGAUCUUCUUAAUUGUCAAUGAUAAUACUUGCAAAAGGAGAUACGAACCAGUGAAGAUUUUGGAUCACACAUCUUGUUUCAAUGACUGAUAAUGUUCCCACUUUUGGAUGUCAGAGGUCACAAUUCGGACUAUCAGGUGUAAGGCAGAGGGAAAGACCCUUGAAAUGGCAGCAAGGAAAGUUAAAAUCCUUUUACAGAGUAUUUGUACAUGAUGGAUUCUUCAUCAUAAUAGUUUGUUGUCAUUGUAAUAAGAUUAGGCCAAACACUUACCCUUUGGCAAUGGAAGGAAAAUGAAAAGAGAAAAAAGAAAAGAAAAAUGUUUUACAUGA